rnacentral:tRNA from 1 species
GCCCUCGUAGCUCAAGGGAUAGAGCGACGCUUUCCUAAAGCGUAGGUUGGCCGUUCGAGUCGGUUCGGGGGUA